rnacentral:rRNA from 1 species
UACGGAGGGGGCUAGCGUUGCUCGGAAUCACUGGGCGUAAAGCGCACGUAGGCGGCUUUUUAAGUCAGGGGUGAAAUCCUGGAGCUCAACUCCAGAACUGCCUUUGAUGCUGAGAAGCUUGAGUCCGGGAGAGGUGAGUGGAACUGCGAGUGUAGAGGUGAAAUUCGUAGAUAUUCGCAAGAACACCAGUGGCGAAGGCGGCUCACUGGCCCGGUACUGACGCUGAGGUGCGAAAGCGUGGGGAGCAAACAGGG